UGUUUCUUUGGUCUCCCAGAUGUUUCAGUUUUUCAGGAAGACAAUACAUCUCAUAGCUCUUUGCUAUGAAAAUUCCUUCUUUUCUUUGGGGCAUGGUGCAAACAUGGUUGUCCAAAGAUAGCAGACUCCCACUUCAGCAAUGUGUUAGGGCAGAUCUUUUGCCAGACUACAUCCAGGGAAAUUCAGUGCUUACAUAAUGAUAACUUCUUCUAUAGCAGUGCCUCUUGGCCAGGGCAGGCACAGGUGUUAUGCCUACAUGUACCUCAGUGGUCACCCCAGGCAAGGAGAGUGGCUGGGUGCCCGUAGCUGGGCAAGCAGAAUGUCCUUGGGGUGUGAUGCUGGUUGCUAGGAGCUGCAGCAUGACGCUUCCAUCCCCUGUCACUGCCUUCCCCAUGACAAUUAUUUUCUGUAGUGGGAUUACUUGUGUUUACUGUUGCUAAAGAAAUCAAGCUGAUUUAACAGUACUGAAAAAACAGCAAGUCUUGAACACAUGAAAACUUAAAAGCCUCCACCCCUCCAAAAGGAGUUUACUCAAAGCCUUUAUCAAGCCCUCUCCUUCCAUAUACUUGAGACCAGGGAGACUGCAUAAAAGGAUUAGUGUGUAGUCCCACCUGUGGCAGUCACAGAGUAAAGGCCAACUGCUGAAAAGUUCAGGAAAGAAGGUAUUUGGAGUGAAAACAUUAAAUGAACUUCAAGUGAACUUAAGUCAAUGUAAUAUAAUCAAAGAGUUUAUCUGAAGUACUAUAAAAAUGAUAUGAGAUCACACACUACUGAGAGCAGAUUGUGUAAACAAGAAGAAAUGUCUUAUACAAGCUGCUAAAGCAUUCUUAAUCGGGAAGUUUUAUUGUUGUCUAGUUUAGUUAGUUAUUAAUCUCACUGUUAAUUACAAACUUCCCAAAUUUUAUUCCGUUGGAUUCUCAAGAUAUAGGCUUUCUGACUGGGAUGGUGUCUGACAGCAACACUAUCAGAAAUAAACCUCUGAGGCAGAAGACCUUGACUGUAUCAUGAGGUAUAUGGAGGUCAGCCUCAUUUGCCAGGUACAACUCGGUAUGGACUUGGGAUCUAAAAAGGCAUUAGCUCUGCCUUCCUGGCAUAUCUUGACUUCUGUACUCAGUUUCUGUACUGGCUUUCAGAACAGAUAUCAGGACUAUAACUCAAGGUAAAUUUUGGAUUUGAAAAUUGUUCUUGAGACUGUGUAUAGAGGAAAGACUAUAAACUCCCUUAUUAUUUUAAGGGCUGAAAAGUUAUGGGAAAGCCAGUUUAUCUGACCAACAACUGGGAAACAAGGUUAAAUCCCAAAGUGGAGCCACUGGACAAAUUCAGAAUCAGGGUUAUGAACCACAACCCAGAGCCUGAAUUUGAGAUCCAAUCUGUUUUAGGCAAAAUACUGUGACCUUUCAUAGAAUACGUUAAAUAGAUUAGAAAUCUGGUAAAGAAUCGUAUUUGAUCAAGAAUAUUGUAUGAAACAAUGCACACAGUUAUGGGCAGAAAACAGUUUAAAACAAAACGAGACAGUCAUUAUAGAUUGUUUAAAGUUCAGUAUUGACUGAAGAAACGGUUAUUGUGUGGAGACUUUUAUUUGGCUUUUGGCAAGGAAAUACUUCUAAAGGUCACAGAAGAUUACAGUAUAAAGGCCAAAGCUGGGGAGAGAGCAAGGUGAGGGUGCCCAGGAAAUAAAUGAGGAAAAGACUAGAAAUAAUAUUCAGGUUAAAGCUAUUCUUUCCCUUAUGAACUGGAAUUCCACAGUGUAGUAAUAACCCAACUUGAAUGAGUGGAAAUGACUUAAGAGCCAGGGAACAGCAAACAAAAGUACACACCAGGGCACUGCAAACAGAACUGGCACUGCAGGAUCAGGAUUUCAUCACUCCAGGAAAAGACAGCCCUAGUGUUCCCACGGGGAAUACCGAAACAGUUGCUCUUGCCCUUGAGGCACAUGACUGAACCCAAGGGAAUUUCAGAGGACAAGUGCUAUAAAGAAUGACCUGUGAAGAACUGAUCAUCUGCUCUCACUGUAAGGGGCAUGGGCAGCUCUCAGUAAUGCCAUGCCCACAGUAGUUUCAAAGGAGAAUUCAGAAACUACUCUAAAAACAAGUGACAGUUGCCAAACUAAAUCCUCUGAACUAGAUGUUUUAUUUGCUUCAUAACUUUAUCUUUGUAUUUACCACACUGCUAUGAAAAGCUGUGGCUCUUUUCAUUAAAGAGUGCCUCCAGUUCUAUGUUUCUAUAUAAAUUAUUUGCCUUACAAUGUUAGAAAUGAUGAAACAAACAAGCAACAACACAUCAUUCUUGUUCUUGCAGUUGCUGUCAUAACUGACCGGAAAUUUGUUUGUUUGUUUGUUUUUAUUACAUUGUAAAAUCAGGUGAAAUAAAUGGAACUAGUGGCAGUUUCACUUUUCUCAUGGCUUAUAGUGCAUUCUUACAUUUUUGUAAACAAAGACCAUAUGGCUUGCUAGACAGAACAUCAAACAUGAAACUAAGAACACCCAUUCUGAGUCUGACACAACACACUGCGGGCCAAUUUCCAUCUUCUUUCUGCACCUACAGCUGUCAGUGAACCUGUAGGAGGCUGGCAUAUGCCUGGAAUGCAGACACACAGCUUGAGAGAGCAAUUUCAUCUUUCUGUUUCCUCAUAUAUAAAACAGGGAGGACAUGACCAAGCUACGUAUGUAACCAAAGGUUAUCCUUCUAUAGCAUUAUGUAGAGCAGAGCAACUCAAAACCCUGCACCUGUUUGAUUUAUCAGUAGGACUGUUAGAGUAUUAAAGUUUAUGUGUGGUUAUUCCAAAAAGCUGCAUAUAUAGGUACGUGUGUACUUCAGUCCUGAUAACUGAUGUGCCUAAAGACAAGCAGAGCCCAGAGCCUUUGCUACAUCUGUUUCAGGGUAUGAAUGCAGUGAGGAAAGAGGCAGUGGCUUCUCCAUUGUACAACCAAAAUCUACGACUCCUUAACCUUCCUCUUCCGAUCAUCCACCAGCAAAUCUGCCCUAAGAUUUGUAUUUUCAACCCCAGAAUUUAAUCCCCAGACCUGAUCAGCUGUGGGAUGCUGGCAACACAGAACAUUAUCAGAAAGCAAAGCUUAACUAUCUGUCAUCUUGCACUCUGAUGCUUGCUCAGGGAUCACACUGGGGGCAGAAUGAGCAAGACCAUGUACAAGAGGAAUGUCCAUCUCUGCAGCCCUUCAAGACAAUGAAGCUGAACUUCUGGCAGCCUCUCAGAAGCUGAUAGCAGACCCAGACUAGAAUGGGGAGGGCUACUAGUAACAGGUGAUUCUGUUUAAUCUCUCAUUAAAUUAUCAUGAUACUGGCAGGUAACAUGCUAUUAAGUCUUAGGACAGUGUAGGCUCUGAGGGCUAUAUUUGGGUGUGGGAGGGGGUUGUUUUUCUCUCUCCCAAAACUCAUAAGCACAUUCCUUAGCUACAGUGACCUCACUGAAAGGGUGGAGGAAGGAGAGGUGGAUUUCACCUCAAGAUAAAGGUGUUUCUGCUGAAACUGAAAGUAAAGGUGAGACUGGGUUUUCCUCCUUCUUUCCAGGCCCAUAACCUACCAUAUUUACCCCCUCUCAGGAAUUCCCGAUGGUCCUGCACUUCAGGAAAGUUAAAACCCCACAGCCUGCCUGUCUCGGUGACUGUGGUACACUUUAUCACAGUGUGCACUGAGACUUGCAUAGCAAUCUACCCAUUAUAAUACAACAGUGAGAAGAACAUGGACAACUUUACUCCUGCAUAGGAAAGUUUUUCCAUUAAAGGCUUCUACACUCAGACUUCUCAACUGAUAAGCACUCUUUGUACCUUCAGUGACUUGCACAUAGCUGUAGUUUGGAAAAAAUGUUCCCACUCAUCUGGGUCUGGUCCAGGUAUCACAGGCAGUCUGAUCAGAAUGGGCUUUCCUAACGCCUGGACUGGUGAGCACAGCUCUUGUUAGCUGCCUCUGGACACCUCCCAGUUGGGCAUGGCACAGCAGCCAGGCAUGGACUGCUGAGUGCCACCCCUUCCAGACUGCUUUGAGCAGAUCUCACCACUCAACAGCCCAAGGCAGAUGCCAGACUUAUAGUCCUUUGCCCUGGUGUUACUCUGUGCUCCAGCUGGACUGUUCCAAGAUAGCUGUGCUCCAGAAGAGCAACAAAAUUGUUGCCCAACAGGCAGAGUCUCGGGACUGUAUGAGACAAAGCAUCCGAAGAACUGGAAUAAAGCCAUGAACAUGCUGGAUGCCAGAUCAAAACCAAAUACUGAGCAGUCCCUCUCCCUCCAUCCAUCCAAAGAUAAACACAACAGCAGCCUUUCCCCCAACCCCCUCCCAGCUGCUCCCAACAACAGUUUCUUUCUCACCAUCUAAACAAGUGACAGUAAAAUGUCCAAUAUGCCGCCUGGUGGGAGAAAGAAUAAAGCACUGACACUGUGUGGGACGGUGUCCUAAAAUACAUUGCUGAGAACUAGAGAAAUGCUUGUUCAGAGGAUUAAGCCCUGCAGCAAAAAGGUUAGAGGAUUACACUAGAGCAAUACUUGACCAGUUCUUCAGGAAGUACAUUAUAGAUUUUUCAUGGCAUAGUUUUUGGGAGUAGUUUUUUCUCUGCAAUCCCUACGGGGACCUAGGGGAACAUUUACAGAGUUACACCUAUACAAAUAAUUGCUUUUUAUGACUCACACAAGAAGUUCAGACUGUUGUGAAAAAGGAGCAUACCCAUUAAAAGCUACUAGAUCAAAAUUCUUGGACAAACACCAAUAGUUUUCCUACAUCAGGCAACAAUAAAAAAUAAUGUAGAAAGACAAUUGCCAGGAGCAUCCCAGCACUACCCUGGUCAUUUGUAUAAUGGGAUUUGAGGGAAGGAAGACAAGGUUAACAAAUUUGGAACAAACACAAGGCAAACAACCAACAUUUGGGUCCUGCCAUUUGUAACUGGCUGCAUUACUAGAUCAAAAUCAGCCAGCAAAACAUGUAUUCUAUCAGAAGAAAAACAAAAAUAAAAUUUAACCAGUUCUACUGAAACCAAGGAAUAUCAGGAUGAAGAAUGUAGUCAUGGCACAGGAGACAAAUGACAAGAUCAGACACAAAAAUCUAACCUCUGCUCUGAGGAAUGCAGUGCUAAAGCUCUGUAAGAGCUGUAAGCCAGCUAGGAAGAUGCAUGAGUAGAGAUGGCCAGAGAUUUGCAAAAUAGAAAAGGUAAGCUUUAAAAAAAAAAAAAAAAAAAAAAGAACUGAUGAGGUCAUUACUAACAAUGAUGACUAACUCCAUCCCUAUUCAGGGCAAGGACAGUCAGGUUCACAUCUGAAAUGCUGACUUGAGAGCUUUUAAAAUCCAGCUUCAAUAGGCUUGUGGAAAAGCAAAGGGCAAAAAUGGAAAAGCAAAGCAAAGAUUUGGGUGCUGUUGUCUUUCAUCAGGAGUUAUUGCAGUGAAUGAGACUGAUGGGUGGCAUCAGAUUUCUCAAUAUUAACUUUUCUUUUUGUUGGAAAUCAAAAAACCACAACCGUUAUGAAAUCUGCAAUUUGUGUGUGUGUUUGAUCCCCGUGUAAUUUUUAUUUGUAUU